AUGAACGCUAGCGGCAGGCUUAAUACAUGCAAGUUGAGGGGCAGCAUGAUAUACGCGAGUAUAUUGAUGGCGACCGGCGGACGGGUGAGUAAUAGGUAGGAGACCUACCUCAUACAGGGGGAUAGCAUAGAGAAAUCUGUGGUAAUACCCCAUGAGGUUAUAUGAAUAGAGGCAUAUAAUCAAAGCAUAAGCGAUUAUGCGGUAUGAGAGGGGCCUACUGACCAUUAGCUAGUUGGUGAGGUAAGGGCUCACCAAGGCGAAGAUGGUUAGGGGUUUUGAGAGAGAGACCCCCCACAUUGGAACUGAGAGACGGUCCAGACUCCUACGGGAGGCAGCAGUAGGGAAUAUUAGGCAAUGGGCGAAAGCCUGACCCAGCCAUGCCGCGUGAAGGAAGACGGCCUUAUGGGUUGUAAACUUCUUUACUACGCGAAUAGAGGUUAGUACGAGAUACUAAUAGGAAGGUAGUGUAGUAAAAAGCACCGGCUAACUCCGUG
rnacentral:rRNA from 1 species